GUUUAAUUAGUUUAAAUUAAAAUUAUAAAUUGUGGAUUUAUAGAUGAAUAAUCAUUAAACA
rnacentral:tRNA from 1 species